CAAAUACUCCCUCCGUCCCAAAAUAAGUGACUCAACUUUGUACUAACUUUGUACUAAAGCUAGUACAAAGUUGAGUCACUUAUUUUGGGACGGAGGGAGUACAAU
rnacentral:pre_miRNA from 1 species